rnacentral:rRNA from 1 species
AACGAACGCUGGCGGCAUGCCUAACACAUGCAAGUCGAACGAAGGCUUCGGCCUUAGUGGCGCACGGGUGCGUAACGCGUGGGAAUCUGCCCUUGGGUUCGGAAUAACGUCGGGAAACUGACGCUAAUACCGGAUGAUGACGUAAGUCCAAAGAUUUAUCGCCCAAGGAUGAGCCCGCGUCGGAUUAGCUAGUUGGUGAGGUAAAAGCUCACCAAGGCGACGAUCCGUAGCUGGUCUGAGAGGAUGAUCAGCCACACUGGGACUGAGACACGGCCCAGACUCCUACGGGAGGCAGCAGUGGGGAAUAUUGGACAAUGGGCGAAAGCCUGAUCCAGCAAUGCCGCGUGAGUGAUGAAGGCCGUAGGGAUGUAAAGCUCUUUUACCCGGGAUGAUAAUGACCGUACCGGGAGAAUAAGCUCCGGCUAACUCCGUG